UGGGGAAUUUUUGACAAUGGGGGAAACCCUGAUCCAGCCAUCCCGCGUGUGCGAUGAAGGCCUUCGGGUUGUAAAGCACUUUUGGCAGGAAAGAAACGUCAUGGGUUAAUACCCCGUGAAACUGACGGUACCUGCAGAAUAAGCACCGGCUAACUACGUGCCAGCAGCCGCGGUAAUACGUAGGGUGCAAGCGUUAAUCGGAAUUACUGGGCGUAAAGCGUGCGCAGGCGGUUCGGAAAGAAAGAUGUGAAAUCCCAGAGCUCAACUUUGGAACUGCAUUUUUAACUACCGGGCUAGAGUGUGUCAGAGGGAGGUGGAAUUCCGCGUGUAGCAGUGAAAUGCGUAGAUAUGCGGAGGAACACCGAUGGCGAAGGCAGCCUCCUGGAAUAACACUGACGCUCAUGCACGAAAGCGUGGGGAGCAAACAGG
rnacentral:rRNA from 1 species